UACGUAGGUGGCAAGCGUUAUCCGGAAUUAUUGGGCGUAAAGGGAGCGCAGGCGGUGACUUAAGUCUGAUGUGAAAGCCCACGGCUCAACCGUGGAAGGUCAUUGGAAACUGGGUCACUUGAAUACAGAAGAGGAAAGUGGAAUUCCAUGUGUAGCGGUGAAAUGCGUAGAUAUUAGGAGGAACACCAGUUGCGAAGGCGGCUCUCUGGACUGUAACUGACACUGAGGCACAAAAGCGUGGGGAGCAAACAGGAUUAGAUACCCU
rnacentral:rRNA from 1 species